GAUGAACGCUGGCGGCGUGCCUAAUACAUGCAAGUCGAGCGAACGGACGAGAAGCUUGCUUCUCUGAUGUUAGCGGCGGACGGGUGAGUAACACGUGGAUAACCUACCUAUAAGACUGGGAUAACUUCGGGAAACCGGAGCUAAUACCGGAUAAUAUUUUGAACCGCAUGGUUCAAAAGUGAAAGACGGCCUUGCUGUCACUUAUAGAUGGAUCCGCGCUGCAUUAGCUAGUUGGUAAGGUAACGGCUUACCAAGGCAACGAUGCAUAGCCGACCUGAGAGGGUGAUCGGCCACACUGGAACUGAGACACGGUCCAGACUCCUACGGGAGGCAGCAGUAGGGAAUCUUCCGCAAUGGGCGAAAGCCUGACGGAGCAACGCCGCGUGAGUGAUGAAGGUCUUCGGAUCGUAAAACUCUGUUAUUAGGGAAGAACAUAUGUGUAAGUAACUGUGCACAUCUUGACGGUACCUAAUCAGAAAGCCACGGCUAACUACGUGCCAGCAGCCGCGGUAAUACGUAGGUGGCAAGCGUUAUCCGGAAUUAUUGGGCGUAAAGCGCGCGUAGGCGGUUUUUUAAGUCUGAUGUGAAAGCCCACGGCUCAACCGUGGAGGGUCAUUGGAAACUGGAAAACUUGAGUGCAGAAGAGGAAAGUGGAAUUCCAUGUGUAGCGGUGAAAUGCGCAGAGAUAUGGAGGAACACCAGUGGCGAAGGCGACUUUCUGGUCUGUAACUGACGCUGAUGUGCGAAAGCGUGGGGAUCAAACAGGAUUAGAUACCCUGGUAGUCCACGCCGUAAACGAUGAGUGCUAAGUGUUAGGGGGUUUCCGCCCCUUAGUGCUGCAGCUAACGCAUUAAGCACUCCGCCUGGGGAGUACGACCGCAAGGUUGAAACUCAAAGGAAUUGACGGGGACCCGCACAAGCGGUGGAGCAUGUGGUUUAAUUCGAAGCAACGCGAAGAACCUUACCAAAUCUUGACAUCCUUUGACAACUCUAGAGAUAGAGCCUUCCCCUUCGGGGGACAAAGUGACAGGUGGUGCAUGGUUGUCGUCAGCUCGUGUCGUGAGAUGUUGGGUUAAGUCCCGCAACGAGCGCAACCCUUAAGCUUAGUUGCCAUCAUUAAGUUGGGCACUCUAAGUUGACUGCCGGUGACAAACCGGAGGAAGGUGGGGAUGACGUCAAAUCAUCAUGCCCCUUAUGAUUUGGGCUACACACGUGCUACAAUGGACAAUACAAAGGGCAGCGAAACCGCGAGGUCAAGCAAAUCCCAUAAAGUUGUUCUCAGUUCGGAUUGUAGUCUGCAACUCGACUACAUGAAGCUGGAAUCGCUAGUAAUCGUAGAUCAGCAUGCUACGGUGAAUACGUUCCCGGGUCU
rnacentral:rRNA from 1 species